rnacentral:lncRNA from 1 species
AACAAGUUCAGGUUAUCAACAGUACACCCAACACGCCAAGUUCUUAACUUAACAUAUGCAUUUGUUUCAGAGAUGGUGUUACAUCCUGUGAUAUAAAUGAAAAUUACAGCAAAACAAAAAAACCUGCAAGAGAAGCACUUUGCCAAACCAAAAGAUAAUUGAACCAUUGGAUCUUGAGCUGAUGUACUGCAUGCACUUCUUUGUUUGUACGGGAUGCACCUCUCUUUUUGUGGUUCAUAUCCUGAAGAUCCUUCAAUUCAGUUAUCAACACACCGUAGCAGGCAUGCUUGCCACCUAUCUUUUGGAUGCACUCCCUUGUCAUUUUCUAUUGCUAAUUAGAGCACUUUAGGAGCACCGACUCAUGUGCGAAUAUGUAGCUGGCUUCAGACUAGACAGUACUCUGGCAAUACCUGUGCAAUUGAGCAACAAGUUCAGAAUAGGAGAAGCAACCAGGAAUCAUUCGCACGAAGAGUACUGAAUAAAAAUAAGAAUUGCACUGAUCUAAAAUUAGUUUUAAACUGAGGGUGUUACUUUGGUGUGUGAUCAUUUCUUGUGAACAUUCAAUUAAACAUGUUUGGUGUCACUUGAUGCAAGAAGGCAAGAAGGUUUUAUUUUGCACACACACACAUAGUACUGUCAUAUGUGUUUUUCACAAACUGAUGAUAGUUCACAUACUAAACUGGCACACCUAGUUCACAUACUAAACUGGCACAUACUACACUAUAAGAUCUGCACUGUAAGAUAAUGAUGUACUGCACUUAGAUAACGAUGUAUGCACUGUUAGAUAACGAUAAAACAUAGCAUCCUAGUCCAAUCAUGACUACUUUGAAUGGGCUAGAUUUUAUCAACAAGGAGCAUGUACCGGUUUACAAAUUAAUUCUGUAUAUAUUUGUUGAAGUUACCUUAGACUUGCAUCUAGUUUUGGCACACCCAAUAAUAGUUGUACUGAGAUGGUCAACUAAUUGUACUGAGAUAGUGAACUUAUUUAUUGCAAAAAGAAAGUCUAAAU